rnacentral:rRNA from 1 species
UACGGGGGGAGCAAGCGCUGUUCGGAAUCACUGGGCGUAAAGGGAGUCUAGGCGGUUUGGUAAGUGGGAUGUGAAAUCCCCGGGCUCACCCCGGGACCUGCAUCCCAAACUGCUGAGCUUGAGUACAGGAGAGGGUGGGGGAAUUCCAGGUGUAGCGGUGAAAUGCGUAGAUAUCUGGAGGAACACCGGUGGCGAAGGCGCCCACCUGGCCUGCUACUGACGCUGAAGCUCGAAAGCUAGGGGAGCAAACGGG